rnacentral:rRNA from 1 species
AGAGUUUGAUCAUGGCUCAGAUUGAACGCUGGCGGCAUGCUUAAUACAUGCAAGUCGAACGGUAACAGAUUCCUCGGAAUGCUGACGAGUGGCGGACGGGUGAGUAAUACAUAGGAAUCUGCCCAUGUAGUGGGGGACAACUUGGGGAAACUCAAGCUAAUACCGCAUAAUUCCUACGGGAUAAAGAGGGCCACUGCUUGCAAGCUCUUGCUACUGGAUGAGCCUAUGUCGGAUUAGUUAGUCGGUAAGGUAAUGGCUUACCAAGACAGCGAUCCGUAGCUGGUUUGAGAGGAUGAUCAGCCACACUGGGACUGAGACACGGCCCAGACUCCUACGGGAGGCAGCAGUAGGGAGUAUUGGACAAUGGGCGCAAGCCUGAUCCAGCAAUGCCGCGUGUGUGAAGAAGGCCUGCGGGUUGUAAAGCACUUUCAAUUGGGAAGAAAGAUUAUGAGUUAAUACCUUAUAAUAUUGACG